AACGAACGCUGGCGGCAGGCUUAAUACAUGCAAGUCGAACGAGAAAGCACCUUCGGGUGUGAGUAGAGUGGCGCACGGGUGAGUAACGCGUGGGAAUGUACCCUUUGGUACGGGAUAACAGUUAGAAAUGACUGCUAAUACCGUAUGGUGACUCCGGUCUAAAGAUUUAUCGCCAAAGGAUCAGCCCGCGUUAGAUUAGCUUGUUGGUGAGGUAAUGGCUCACCAAGGCUGUGAUCUAUAGCUGGUCUGAGAGGAUGAUCAGCCACACUGGAACUGAGACACGGUCCAGACUCCUACGGGAGGCAGCAGUAGGGAAUAUUGGACAAUGGGCGAAAGCCUGAUCCAGCCAUGCCGCGUGUGUGAUGAAGGCCUUAGGGUUGUAAAACACUUUCAUUGGUGAAGAUAAUGACGGUAACCAAAGAAGAAGCCCCGGCUAACUUCG
rnacentral:rRNA from 1 species